AACGUACCACUCCACCGAAUUACACGGGGACGGAAACAAUCUCCACAAACCUUAUCCAAGCAUCCAUCGCAGGGUUACAGUCCAAAAAGAAUUCUAUCUCUAUCCACCCAUCACAUGGGAUUUCACCACCAUUAGCCGCUAAAACUACUAGAGUUUCUGUUCUCAAAAGCUCAGCAAGUGGCCUGACAGUACUGUGUGAGCAUCAAACCUAAGAAUCCUUAAAGAUCUACAUCGACAUCCGCAAGAAGCUGAAGGCUCCAACCAGCUCCUCCCACCCUCAGCACUCCCUCUGGGCCUCUGAGCCCCUUCGCUCCCCUCCCAUUGCUCACUGCAGCUGAUCAGGUACCCCCCGCAGAUGGCAGGGAGGCACCGUCAUUGUUUGAGAGUUGCAGCUGGAGGGUGAAGGCUCGCACCAUGUCUCCAUCAUAGAGACAUGGUGUCUCAGUCCUCAGACCGGAGAGACCACCUGCAGCACGAGAAAGAGAUGCUGAUGGAGGAGGUCAAAGCUAAGAAGGUGAUCAGUCGUUCGGUAAUCAUAAAACUUUAUUGAUCCCUGCUGCCACAGAAAAUAGUCACAAACACACCGCCUGCUGCAGGAGCCGGUGUGGAUCCUCCACAAAGCGCUGGAGGCGGCUUAGCUGGAGAAGUAAGUCUGCGCCGAGUUUUUGGCAGAGGAGGAACGUCUGGAGCUGCUGCGACACCGCGAGUGACAGGUGGCCGACCUGUGGGGUGGCUGGACGAGGCCAAGAUGGAGGUGGAGGCGGUGAGGAAGAGUCUGGCUGAGAAGGCCACGCAGGUCACUGAGCUGCAGCAGAACAUCAGGAUGCUGAUGGAGAAGAACAACGCCAAGCAGGAGGUGAGGACAAACCAGAGGUCGCUGUCAGACUGACCUCUGGUUGGUCACGUUAAAGUAACCUGCGCACGUUUGUUUCCAUGACUGAAAGUUUCCCUGAGAUCUGGAGCUGUUCCUGGAGCUGCUGCUGACUCAGGAAAAAACUGAGCAUGGGUGGAUGUUGAGACAGAGGGCCUCUCCCGUGCAUUCAACGCUCCAUCUAAAUGACCAGCCCAGAUGAUGGAUGUGUCAUGUGAUUCAGUGGAAAACUGAGAAUCGUAGCCAAAAGAAAAAAGUGGAAUACUUGAGGAAGAUCACGGAGCAAAAGGCUCAUUGAGUGAGAGCAGUGGGCAGGUUGGUGUUCUGCACCAUUUAGUUAGGUCUCUUCAGAGGUGUUUUAAAAAAAAAAUUUUUCUAAGGUUUUCAGUAGUUUCCAUCCAUGAGUGAUUUGAAUUAAAACUGAAGAAAUCCUCCAAUAUGCGUCACAAAUCUUCAUUUAAAUGUCCUAUGAUUUACCAUGAAAUUGAGACAGUACUGAUCCAGUGGCAUUGGCUCCACACAGUGGAGAGUUGUAGUAAUGUCUAGAAAGUUCACUGACUCAGAAAUAAACACACAUUGAACACCAGCCCAAAGACACUUUGCUCAGGGACUCCAUGCUGCCCUCAGUCCAUUCAUGAACUCCUCUUGGUCUGUAUGCCGUCUGCAGCCAGAAGUGAAACCUUUGCCCUGCCAGCAGGAUCUCCUGCAGUGAAACCUGCAGGAUCUGCACAGCAGCCUACAGCUUAUGUGCAAACUUCAAUAAAAAAAUCUUGGAAGAGACACAUCUUUCCAAUCCUCUGCAGGCUCCUACCCGCUGCUGGAGGAGGGAGAGCAAUUUGACCUGACCAUGGACACUCAGCGCAUUUCUCCAUAGGAGCUGUCAGGCAGGAAACUAGGAGGGGGGGAAGGAAAAAAAGAAUGCUGCUUCUAUAAGUGGCAGGAGUUCAGGCAGCAGUUUGAUCUGCCGGAAGGCUCAAAUUCCGAAGACAUCACCUGCUAACUGGAUUCAGGUGGGAAGUUCCACAUCCAGGCAUCCAAAAGUCUGUGUGAAGGAGGCUGAGACAGAAGUGAGUAUGAAAAGGAGCUUUAGGGACUUUUUAUGUUCAGUUACAUUUGACUAUUAAUUUGAAAAACAAUUUCACAGAGUUUAUUUUGUUUAAUGUUAAAAUGGGCAAAUUUCAUCUAUCAUACUGUCCAUUUCGCCUGUUUCAGAUUUGAAGAAAUUUUCAUGUCUUAAGAUUUUUUUUAACCUAACAUUUCAAUAAUGGGAAGACUGAUCAGAGUGGAGAAACUGAGAAAA